UACGGAGGGUGCAAGCGUUAUCCGGAUUCACUGGGUUUAAAGGGUGCGUAGGUGGGCAGGUAAGUCAGUGGUGAAAGUCGAAGGCUCAACCUUCGAAAGCCGAUGGAUACUGCAGGGCUAGAGUCCGGAAGAGGCGAGUGGAAUUCCUGGUGUAGCGGUGGAAUGCGCAGAUAUCAGGAGGAACACCAUAGCGAAGGCAGCUCGCUGGGACGGUACUGACGCUAAGGCGCGAAAGCGUGGGGAGCGAACAGG
rnacentral:rRNA from 1 species